rnacentral:rRNA from 1 species
GGACCAUUCCAACACCCCGCCCCACACGCGGUUCACUUCACCUCUCGUCGUCCCGACCACUAUUCCACGGUCCAAAACACUGAAACCCAUCACCCUUCCCUCGCCGCCGUCGGUCCCCGUAGACCCUGACCGCGGUGCCGUUGACCGACCGGCGCGGCCCUGCCCCCCCGCGCGUAGGACGGCUCCGGUUCCACGGCCGUGGAGCCCGCCGUGACUUCCCAGCCAUUUUGGUUCGGCAGCGACUUCUCAGGCAGGCAUUUUGGUUCGGCACGUCCACAUCGCCGUCCUCCCUCGUCUCCCGACUCCGUGGUAUAAACAACUGCCAGCAAAGAUCGCGCUACCUUCCAUUGCCGCUCUUUUGUCCGUUGGGCGCGUCUGUUUCCCCGGCAGGCGGAUCCUCCUGGUGCCUCCAGACGGCAUAUAUAUCCGCUCUCGCCGCGCCAACGCCGAGAGGGAUGCGCCAUUCGUGGGCCGGUGAACCCUGAGCGCGCGGCGGCUCCACCCACCGAUCACAGGAACCACUGUAUACCCGGAUAACAAAAGGUUGUUCCAGUAGCAGAGAUGGUUCAUCAUAUAUCUGACGAGGCAGCAGAUGAACCUAGCAUCACCACACAGACACCCUCCAAUGACCCAUCUCAAGCACCGCUGGUGUACAAAGUGGGCUAUCCCCCUCCCAAGAACUUGGCCACAGAAUUUACAGAAACAUUGAGAGAGACUUUCUUCCACGACAACCCGCUGCGUCAGUACAAGGGCCAAUCCGGACCGAGGAGGUUCAUGAUGGGGCUGGAGUUCUUGUUUCCAAUAUUUGGGUGGGGUAGGGAUUAUAGUCUCAACAAGUUCAAAGGCGAUCUGAUUGCCGGAUUGACCAUCGCAAGCCUCUGCAUUCCUCAGGACAUUGGCUAUUCGAAGCUUGCUAAUUUGGAUCCGCAGUAUGGGCUUUACUCCAGCUUCAUUCCCCCAUUGAUCUAUGCUGCAAUGGGUAGCUCAAGGGAUAUAGCGAUUGGCCCGGUUGCCGUGGUUUCUCUUUUGAUAGGUUCACUUCUACAAGCUGAGGUUGACCAUGUCAAAAACAAGGAGGAAUACAUGCGCCUCGCUUUCACGGCAACCUUCUUCGCUGGCAUCACUCAAGCAGCCUUAGGAUUUCUAAGGUUAGGGUUCCUUAUAGAGUUCUUGUCACAUGCUGCAAUUGUCGGAUUCAUGGGGGGAGCUGCCAUUACUAUUGCCCUGCAGCAGCUGAAAUACGUGUUGGGUAUCGCAAACUUUACAAGGAAAACCGACAUAGUUUCUGUUAUGGAAUCUGUCUGGAGAUCAGUUCAUCACGGGUGGAACUGGCAGACAAUUGUGAUUGGCGUAUCUUUCCUGGUUUUCCUUCUGUUUGCGAAGUACAUCGGAAAGAAGAAAAGGAAGCUUUUCUGGGUGCCAGCUAUUGCUCCUAUAAUUUCAGUGAUUCUAGCAACAUUUUUUGUAUACAUUACUCGUGCCGACAAGCAAGGUGUUCAGAUAGUAAAGCACAUUGAACAGGGAAUCAACCCAUCAUCAGUACACAUGAUUUAUUUCACCGGUCCGUUUGUUGCAAAAGGUUUCAAGAUCGGUGUUGUUUGCGGCAUAGUUGGUUUGACAGAAGCUGUAGCUAUUGGAAGGACAUUUGCUGCUAUGAAGGACUACCAGCUAGAUGGAAACAAGGAGAUGGUAGCACUUGGAACCAUGAACAUAGUAGGAUCAAUGACAUCUUGCUAUGUCACAACAGGUUCUUUCUCACGUUCGGCAGUUAACUUCAUGGCUGGCUGCAAGACUCCUGUAUCCAAUGUGGUUAUGUCAGUGGUGGUUCUUCUUACCUUGUUGGUCAUCACACCGCUAUUCAAAUACACACCGAAUGCAAUCCUAGGGUCGAUCAUCAUUUCUGCGGUGAUCGGCCUUGUGGACUAUGAAGCAGCAAUUCUCAUAUGGAAAGUUGACAAAUUGGACUUCAUUGCUUGCAUGGGAGCAUUUUUCGGUGUUGUUUUUGUAUCCGUUGAGAUUGGCCUCUUGAUUGCUGUAGCAAUCUCAUUUGCCAAAAUACUUCUUCAAGUAACAAGGCCAAGGACAGCCCUACUUGGAAACCUUCCCGGCACCACAAUAUACAGGAACAUCAGCCAGUAUCCAGAAGCAAAACUUACUCCCGGGGUGGUGAUUGUGAGGGUUGAUUCUGCUAUUUAUUUUUCCAACUCUAAUUACGUCCGAGAAAGAAUUCUUAGGUGGCUGACAGACGAAGAAGAUAGAGCUAAAGCACUGGGAUUGCCUAAAAUCAGUUCCUUGAUCGUGGAAAUGUCGCCCGUUAUCGACAUCGAUACAAGUGGCAUACACGCUCUUGAAGAUCUAUACAAGAAUCUUCAGAAAAGAGAUAUGCAGCUCAUUCUGUCGAAUCCUGGUUCCGUCGUCAUAGAAAAACUGCAAGCAUCCAAGCUCACCGAGCACAUUGGAAGCAGUCAUAUAUUCCUCGCAGUCUCUGACGCUGUGCGAUUCUGUACGACGAAGUCGAUGCAGGAACCGUGAGCGAAGUAUUUCGGAGGAAUGGCUGGUGCUGCCAUGGUGCUAGUGUUGAUAAUAGUUUUGGUGCUCCCUGUGAUCUAAGCUGGGCAGCGCAAGAUGAUGUGGCUUUGUGGCCGAUGUAGAAACAUAUAAUAAGUUCAGGCAAUCACCGGAGCCUCUCCGGUUUACUAAAUACUACUCCCUCCCUCCGUUCACCAUUAUAGGAUGUUCUAACUUUUUUCUGAAACAGAUGUAUAUAGCCGUAUUUUAGUGUAUUUGUUCACUCAUUUCAGUCCAUAUGUAGUCCAUAUUGAAAUAUAAAAAAUAUCUUAAUAGUGAACGGAGGGAGUAGAAGAUAAGGUUUAGAAGUGCUCCUCUACUGAGUAUGAACGAAGUAAAUUAUGGAACUCGCGGCGGAUCUUCCUCAAGUAUGUACAGAUAUAAAUAAAAGAUUGACGUGGGAUCUCGGUGCAUU